rnacentral:misc_RNA from 1 species
AAGUCGUAACAAGGUUUCCGUAGGUGAACCUGCGGAAGGAUCAUUAAAAAUUUAUAUUCCGGGAAUUCGUUUCGUUUUCCCGGAUUUAUUUGUAUUCAAAUCCCACUCUUUAUAAAUAUAUUAAUUAUAUAAAACAAAAAUAAAAAAGAAAACUUUCAACAACGGAUCUCUUGGCUCUC